rnacentral:rRNA from 1 species
GACGAACGCUGGCGGUGUGCUUAACACAUGCAAGUCGAACGGUAAGGCCCUUUCGGGGGUACACGAGUGGCGAACGGGUGAGUAACACGUGAGUAACCUGCCCUCAUCUCUGGGAUAACAGUCGGAAACGGUUGCUAAUACUGGAUAUGAGCUUGCAGGGCAUCUUGUGGGUUGGAAAGAUUUUUUUUGGUUGGGGAUGGACUCGCGGCCUAUCAGCUUGUUGGUGAGGUAGUGGCUCACCAAGGCUUCGACGGGUAGCCGGCCUGAGAGGGCGACCGGCCACAUUGGGACUGAGAUACGGCCCAAACUCCUACGGGAGGCAGCAGUGGGGAAUAUUGCACAAUGGACGGAAGUCUGAUGCAGCAACGCCGCGUGCGGGAUGACGGCCUUCGGGUUGUAAACCGCUUUCAAUUGUGACGAAGCUUUUUUGUGACGGUAGCAGUAGAAGAAGCACCGGCUAACUACGUG